rnacentral:misc_RNA from 1 species
AACUGAUACUACCUGCGGGAACCUGCGGAAGGAUCAUUACAGAGUUGCAAAACUCCUCCACACACGCGAACUUACCCGUAUUGUUGCUUCGGCGGGCGGCCCCAGGGCGGGGCCGUAGCCUGUAAAGGCGCCCGCCGGAGGUGCCAAACUCUGUUUGUAUAGGCCUCUCUGAGUAUUGCAAGAAUAAGUCAAAACUUUCAGCAAUGGAUCUCU